rnacentral:rRNA from 1 species
GAGACUAAGAUGCCGUGAGCCGUGGUGAGAGUUAGGGGGCAAGCAGUGUCCGGUUUUGUUGGGCGGAAAGGGCGUGUAGGCGGCCGACCAGGUCACCUAGGAAAACUCGAGGCUCAACCUCGAGACGUCGGUUGAAACCGUACGGCUAGAGUCCGGAAGAGGGGAGUGGAAUUCCCGGUGUAGCGGUGAAAUGCGCAGAUAUCGGGAAGAACACCCGUGGCGAAGGCGGCUCUCUGGGACGGUACUGACGCUGAGACGCGAAAGCGUGGGGAGCGAACAGGAUUAGAUACCCCUGUAGUC